ACCCGUGGGUCGAGGUAGGUACAGAUAUUGUAAAUUCAAAACGAGGCAGGGCGGGUACAAAUUUUAGAGAAAACAGGCCCUCGGCCCAAAUCGUUUCCCCCGUUCAUUAUAGGGAGAUAAAUCUCCACCGUUUAUUUCUUAGGUUAUGUAGAAUUCUCGAGACUUCACUCUCAGGCCUCUCGACUCUCCCUCACGAUCUCUUUCUCCUAAACUUACACUCCGUCCCCGUCUUCGUCGAUCGAGGUCCAUCCUACCCACCACUUGACCACCAUCUCCGGCGUCGAUCGAGGUCCCUCCCACCCGCCAUCAGGACUAGUUUGUCGAUGUUAAGAAUUUAAGAUCGAGAUAGUACUUGGGAAGUCAAAAGACUUUGAUGACUUGAUGGCCAUUGCAGCUGCGGAGGAGCAAAGCUGAAAAAGGUUGCUUGUUUGGGGCUUCUCUUACAGUACCAGUUGUUCAAGACCAUCGUUAACACCGUCACCAACCAUUUCGUCGAAGAAGAUCACCCUCAAGAGCUCGGAUGUCAAGUCGUUCGAGGUUGAGGAGGCGGUGGCGCUAGAGUCGUAGACCAUCAAGCACAUGAUCAAGGAUGAUUGCGCCGACCAUCAACCUGGAUUUGGAACUGGGUUCUGGAGCUCUGUAUCAAAAUCAGAAGAAAAAAAAAAAAAAAAAAAGUAGUGAGGACCCGUUGUACCGACCCAAACCGGCUCGUUUCAAACAGACCCGGUUAGGUCCAGUUCCUGUUUUAAAAUCUGUUGUACCCACCCCAGAUCGGCCCAUUUCUUUUAAACUCCGGUCCGGUCCAGUUCCUUCAAAAUUGGGCCGGCCCGGCCUGUGCCCAACCCUAGAUAAGAGCAUACGGAGGAAGGAAGAAAAGAGAUGAGAAAAACAUAUAGAGGAAAUAUGGAGGACGUACGCACACUUGCCCCGAGGACGUACGCACACUUGCCGAAUCUCGUAAAUAUUGUGUCUUAUUUAUUUUAUUCCACUGCACACAUAUUGUCAACUUUACAACAAUUUAGAAUUUUUUUU